AAACAGCACAGGAAAGCACCACGUUCACUCACAUACAACUAAGCACACUGGAAACACCGUUUGCCCAGGCUGGAUCUAUUAAUAGAUAUCAGCAUGUAGUGAAAAGUAGCACUGAAAAUCAAGUUCUAAAGUUCAAUGUGUAGGUGUGGUUUCAAGUUACUCCGAUACUCCGACCACAGAAGCAUCAACAGAAUGAAGAUCAAAACAAGGUGAUAUCUGCUGAGAUAAUUACUCUGGAACAUAAAGUUAGCUCAGAGAGUGAAAGGCGGGCCUAGUUCACUCCUCUUUCUAGCAUUGUCAGCAUCAGGGAACCAGAGUUCAUCUGCAGUCCAUCUUCCAUUGUCCUGCUUUCAGGCUCCUAAUCCACCUUGUCUUCCUGCAUAUAGAGAGUCUAUUUUGUGGCCUACAGUAGGUCUUAAAUUAUACUCAACAAUCUAUAGGCUAAACCUUCUAUUUGGAGGACUAUGAAUCUUACUUGACUCUAAUAUAUCACCAGCUUCCCGGACCAGGGACCACACUUAGUUACAUGGGAACCAAUGCAGGCACCAGUCUCAAGCUUGAAUUUUAACUUGAGAUAUUGAGCUAUCGGAUUCAAACGAUCAAUCUGCCUCCUGGAAGCUUAAUUUCAAUGCUGACUGCUUGAAUCCUAAAGAUUAGAUAUCCUUGUGGAAGUUCCAGGUUUUGUAG
rnacentral:lncRNA from 1 species